rnacentral:rRNA from 1 species
UUUUCGGACGAAGCUGGCGGCGUUGCUUAACACAUGCAAGUCGAACGAGAAAGGGACUUCGGUCCUGAGUACAGUGGCGCACGGGUGAGUAACACGUGGAUAAUCUGCCUGAUGGACAGGGAUAACAUCUCGAAAGAGGUGCUAAUACCAGAUAAGCCCACAGCAUCUACGGAUGCAGCGGGAAAAGGGGGCCUCUUCAUGAAAGCUUCCACCAACAGAUGAGUCCGCGGUCCAUUAGCUAGUUGGUAGGGUAAUGGCCUACCAAGGCCACGAUGGAUAGCUGGUUUGAGAGAAUGAUCAGCCACACUGGGACUGGAACACGGCCCAGACUCCUACGGGAGGCAGCAGUGGGGAAUAUUGCGCAAUGGGCGAAAGCCUGACGCAGCGACGCCGCGUGGAGGAUGAAGGCCUUCGGGUCGUAAACUCCUGUCAAGAGGGAAGAACCGUAUGCGGAAUAAUACGCCGCAUGCCUGACGGUACCUCUAGAGGAAGCACCGGCUAACUCCGUGCCAGCAGCCGCGGUAAUACGGAGGGUGCAAGCUUUAAUCCGGAAAUCACUGGGCCGUCAAGCGCCGCCUUAGGCGGUUUGGUAAGUCA